rnacentral:rRNA from 1 species
UACGGGGGGAGCAAGCGUUGUUCGGAUUUACUGGGCGUAAAGGGCGCGUAGGCGGCCACCGCAAGUCAAUUGUGAAAUCUCCGGGCUUAACUCGGAAAGGUCAACUGAUACUGCGGGGCUAGAGUGCGGAAGGGGCAACUGGAAUUCUCGGUGUAGCGGUGAAAUGCGUAGAUAUCGAGAGGAACACCUGCGGCGAAGGCGGGUUGCUGGGCCGACACUGACGCUGAGACGCGAAAGCUAGGGGAGCAAACGGG